GCUUAAAAUUUUUGUUUUUGUUUAUACUGUAAUUGCUGCUUGUAUUUUUAGGUAUGCUGAAGUUGUUGGUCUCAGGGAGUGCUGACACAUUGAAAGCCUGUGGGAGAGGAAAUUUCAAGAUGGACUUUCACCUGAAGUAUAACCUGAACAGGACCCUUUAAGAAGCAUUCAGAGCUACAUUUUGUAGCAUCAGUGCACGUGUGAAGCUAAGCAUGACCUAUUUCUGGGACCAUCUUUAGGAGAGCUAGAGGUCAAGAGUUGAAUAUAAGAAUGGAAUAAAGUAAAUGAUGGAGUUA